rnacentral:rRNA from 1 species
AGAGUUUGAUCCUGGCUCAGGACGAACGCUGGCGGCGGGCUUAACACAUGCAAGUUGAAGGAGAAGCCCUGACUUCGGUUGGGGUGGAGACUGGCGCACGGGUGAGUAACGCGUAGACAACCUGCCUGGACCUGGGGGAUAACUCCGCGAAAGCGGGGCUAAUACCGCAUAAUGCAGCGGGGCCGCAUGGCCACAGUUGUUAAAGGUUUAGACCGGGUGCAGAUGGGUCUGCGUGCUAUUAGUUAGUUGGUAGGGUAACGGCCUACCAAGGCGAUGAUAGCUAGGGGGUCUGAGAGGAUGAUCCCCCACACUGGGACUGAGACACGGCCCAGACUCCUACGGGAGGCAGCAGUGAGGAAUCUUGCGCAAUGGAGGAAACUCUGACGCAGCCACGCCGCGUGCCGGAAGACGGCCCUAUGGGUUGUAAACGGCUUUUGGUCGGGAAGAAUCUGGGCCUUUCGAGGUCCACUGACGGUACCGAUUGAAUAAGCACCGGCUAACUCCGUGCCAGCAGCCGCGGUAAUACGGAGGGUGCAAGCGUUGUCCGGAAUCAUUGGGUGUAAAGGGUGCGCAGGCUGGCGCCUAAGUCGGAGGUGAAAUCUUACCGCUUAACGGUAAAAUGGCCCCCGAUACUGGGCGUCUUGAAUCUGACAGAGGUCGGUGGAAUUCGUGGUGUAGCGGUGAAAUGCAUAGAUAUCACGAAGAACAUCAGUGGCGAAAGCGGCCGGCUGGGUCAGUAUUGACGCUGAGCACGAGAGCGUGGGGAGCGAACAGGAUUAGAUGCCCUGGUAGUCCACGCUGUAAACGAUGUAUGCU